rnacentral:misc_RNA from 1 species
CCGUUUCUCUCGCACCAGGUAUGAGUGCCAUUGGGCCCUCUCGUAUGUGGUCCCACAGCGAUUCCUGAUCGCCAUCCAGUGCACGGGCAAUGGAUUUUGGCUUCGCCGAACGUCGGAAUCCAGAGCCCCUCUCCGCGACGGGUGUCAGCCGGGGAAACUUCCAACCUCAUACAGCUGGAUUCGACGUUUUUUUUUUUUCGCUUCUCAACGCAACUCGUCUGUGCCACACAACAUCAGUGAAACUCCACUGGACUCUUGGCCCAUGUCGUGGUGCGAGGAAGCCGGGGAUGUGCGAUACACGAUUCCCACCUCAGCCAUCUGAGCACUCCCUCGGUCUUGAACUGUACCCACCACGGCCGCCUCGCAGGUUUCCCCAGAGCCGCUCCUCCCAGCAUGCUGGCCGAUACCGAUGGUGUAUCUCUCUCUGGGGCGGCUGAGGCCUCCCACACCAGUUGGCGGUGUGAGCGCGGGGGCGGGGGUAACAGGUACGUUCGAGUUGCGCGGACACACUCUGCCUAAUCCUAUGGAUGGCGCACGCGUGUUCGCUGUCGCGGGCCGCUUGGAUACAAUGCCAUCCAGGCCCUGACUGCGGCCGAUAGCUCUGACUCCUCCCCACAUUUCAGGAACGAGGCCCUGCGAUUUCACACGCGCUGAGGUGUGCGCUGCCACCAGGGGAGCAGCGUGAGUGCUGAAAUCCUC